rnacentral:lncRNA from 1 species
CUACCAACAGUGGGUGCCUGAUUAAUAGUUGUAAAAUGGCUGACUGAAUGAAUAAAUCAAUGAGGACAGUUAGCAUUAUCAGUGUUGUGGCCUCCUGCAGCUAAUGUGGUUCUUAAAAAUUUUCUGAUAUGCUGAAUCAAUCUUUCCUGAGAGGUACUUAGUUUACCUUUUCUGCCUUCGACACUUCUGAAAAUGUUUCCUCUGGAUCAGAAACCUGUUUUGUGACUGAUGCAUUCAUUCCUGCCUCAUUUUAACCUCUUACUUGAUCAAUGUAAGACAUCUCUCAGAACCAUCUUGCAUAGCCAGAUUUUCUUGUUCUGGACCCUUCUAAUCAGCCAAGCCAAUUGCUUCACACCUCACUCUCAAUCUUCCCAGAAUAACUUUUUAAAAUAACAACAAGCGAAAGCAAGACUUAUGCAUUUAUGUUUUGCCAUCUAGUUAUAGGAUAUCUUUAUCAGAAUUCUUAUUUAUUGGUAACUUUUCCCUUUGGCAUUUCAACUCUCUCACAUUACAUACUAUUAUUGUCCACUGAAUAAAUAAGAAAAUCACAGAAUUUUCCCUAAUAUAAACACCAUGAAUAUGUGUUGAAGUUGGAUGUAAGCUCUGGCUAUGCAGCUGCAGCUCACACAGAACAACAUGGAGUGGAAAGAUGCCAGGAAGAUCCAGUUUUAGGAAGUGACUGACAAAACCAAAAAUAAUCAUUGCAGGGUAAUCAUGGAUCAGGGGCUGCUCUAUACAAUUGUUGCUGUGGCUGUCUAUGAAGAUGUUAUUAUAGGACACAAAGUCCGUGCAGCUGUCUUCACAAUAAAGUGGAAUUUUUUGCAGAAAACUGAUGAACUACUGCCAGCUUUUAGGUCCAAGGUUCUCUUCCUCUUCUCUCAUAUUUUAUGAUAUAAUCGGAUCAUUGACCAUAACAGCACUCUUCCUGCCCAGGCACAAAACACUAACUACCCUAUGAAAGGGGCCAUAACUAUAUUCUGUGACUCAAGGCAUUUCCCAGCCUGCAGUUCCUAUACCCCUUCUCAGUUCAAACACUUUAAGUAAGUAUGGUUCACAGGAAUUUUUCUCUUGGUCUCUUGGGUACACACACACAGAUAUACACGUACAAAUAUGCAUAUACAAACAUGCACAUAUAUACAUUACAUACAGAAAACAUUAAUGUUCAUGUAUAGUUAAAAUAUUAAUAAAAUCCACAUAUCCAAAAACCCAGCUUAAAAAUAAAAUAUCACCAAAGUAUUCAAAGUUACCUGUAUGACUCUCUAAUUCCAUUCCUGCCCUACAGUAAACUGCUAUUUGAAAUCAUUGCCUUGUUUUUUUGUUUAAUUUACAGUUUUACUUCAUCUCUGCAUAUAUUCCUAACAAUAUAUGGUUUGGCAUGCAUGGUUUUGGACUUUUUUGUGAAUAGGACCACAUGUAUUACUUUGUG